AUUACGGUGCUCCUUAGCACCAUACAUCGAAACAUAGAAAAGUUAU
rfam:Stegodyphus mimosarum contig107792, whole genome shotgun sequence.